rnacentral:rRNA from 1 species
AUUGAACGCUGGCGGCAUGCCUUACACAUGCAAGUCGAACGGUAACAGGUCUUCGGAUGCUGACGAGUGGCGAACGGGUGAGUAAUACAUCGGAACGUGCCCAGACGUGGGGGAUAACGAGGCGAAAGCUUUGCUAAUACCGCAUACGAUCUAAGGAUGAAAGCAGGGGACCGCAAGGCCUUGCGCGUUUGGAGCGGCCGAUGGCAGAUUAGGUAGUUGGUGGGAUAAAAGCUUACCAAGCCGACGAUCUGUAGCUGGUCUGAGAGGACGACCAGCCACACUGGGACUGAGACACGGCCCAGACUCCUACGGGAGGCAGCAGUGGGGAAUUUUGGACAAUGGGCGAAAGCCUGAUCCAGCAAUGCCGCGUGCAGGAUGAAGGCCUUCGGGUUGUAAACUGCUUUUGUACGGGACGAAAAGGCUCUGGCUAAUACCUGGGGCACAUGACGGUACCGUAAGAAUAAGCACCGGCUAACUACGUG